ACUGUUUUAAAUUGUUGAAAUUGCUGUAUUUUGUUGUUUUAUCUGUUUUCUCUGUUUGCCCUUGUAGCACUUUGAGGUUUGGUAUCAAACAAAAAGUGCAUUAGAAAUAAAAUUUAGUAUUAUUAUUAUUAUUAUAACCAAUAUGGAAAAGUG